AAAAAAUCCCACCUGCGCUUUCUCAAAGAAACUUUUACAGUGUGUUGUACUACUUUUGGGACAAAUUAUAUCAAAAUUAUAGAAAACUUUAUCGGCUCUAACUCAAAAUAUGGACAAUUUUAUGUUUAGGGCGUCUUGAAAUCUUUUGACAGCUUCCGAAGUGCUAAUUUUCAACCUUUUUCAGCUGGACCAAAUCACUACUUUCCUUUAAAAUUCUGGACCCAAAUUUUUUUACAGUGUAAUUUCACCCCCCUAUUUGAAAUUUGAGGCAUUAAACAUGGAGAAAUAAAUUUGGAAGGGGUAUACAAAUUAAUGGCAAGUAACCCACUGUAAACACUAGGG
rnacentral:lncRNA from 1 species